GCAGGCGCGAAAACUUUACAAUGCCGGCAACGGCGAUAAGGGGACCUCGAGUGCCAGGUUACAAAUCUGGCUGUCGUGAUGCCUAAAAAGCAUGCAUAGCAAGGGCCGGGCAAGACCGGUGCCAGCCGCCGCGGUAACACCGGCGGCUCGAGUGGUAACCGUUAUUAUUGGGUCUAAAGGGUCUGUAGCCGGCCGGAUAAGUCUCUUGAGAAAUCCAGCAGCUCAACUGUUGGGCUUUCAGGAGAUACUGUUCGGCUCGAGGCCGGGAGAGGUGAGAGGUACUUCAGGGGUAGGGGUGAAAUCUUGUAAUCCUUGAAGGACCACCAGUGGCGAAGGCGUCUCACCAGAACGGACCUGACGGCAAGGGACGAAAGCUAGGGGCACGAACCGGAUUAGAUACCCGGGUAGUCCAAGCCGUAAACGAUACUCGCUAGGUGUCGGCCACGGUGCGACCGUUGUCGGUGCCGUAGGGAAGCCGUGAAGCGAGCCACCUGGGAAGUACGGCCGCAAGGCUGAAACUCAAAGGAAUUGACGG
rnacentral:rRNA from 1 species